CCCAGGGGCCCCAGGCGGGGCGUUUCCUCCCUGACUUGGGCCACUUCACUCGGAGUGGCCCAUUUUUUUGAAAGGC
rfam:Bradyrhizobium sp. AS23.2 Bradyrhizobium_AS_23.2_c163, whole genome shotgun sequence.